GCACACAGGAAGUGGGGCUUGGCGGUAGUUCACUGCGCAUGCGUGGAAAAGGCAACGGGUCCCCGCUUGGUCCUAAAGAUGCUACGUCGGAAGCCAACGCGUUUGGAGCUCAAGCUGGACGAUAUCGAGGAAUUUGAAGGGGCCAGAAAAGAGCUGGAGAGUUGCAAGAAGCAGCGGGAAGAGGUGGAUGUGGUGGGCGCCAGUGACGGCGAAGGCGCGCUGGGACUGAACAUGGACCACAAGAGCCGGGAACAGAUGAUCCACGACCGGAUCGGCUACAAGCCCCAGCCCAAGCCCAACAACCGCUCCUCGCAGUUUGGCAACUUUGAGUUCUAGAGCCUUUCCUCUACUGACUUCCAUGACACUAGAGGAAAAAAAGCAGCCAAGGGGAAUGGACUUGCUCUCUCUCCCGGCACCCAAGGAACUGAAGACUGGACUCUUCUCUCGAAACCGGACUCACAACCUCUGAGGAUGCCUGCCAUAGAUGUGGGCGAAACAUCAGGAGAGAAUGCUUCUGGAACAUAGCCAUACAGUCUGGAAAACUCACAGCAACCCUGUGAUUCCGGCCAUGAAAGACUUCGACAAUACUCUGUUAAAUACUUUCAGAGAAGGCGAUGACAACACCCUGCCUUAUACUGUCAGAAUCUCUUAACAAUGUGACUAACAGACCUGAUAAUUAGAACAAAGUUAUCUUGAUAUCAACACAAGCCACCCUCUCAUUUUGGGCAAGGCAACAGGUCGGUAUACUUUGUAUUAGACCGUAGUGUGGAGGCACAGCAGAAAGGUGUUAAGGUCACCUUCCUCACAACCUCUGAGGAUGCCUGCCAUAGAUGUGGGCGAAACGUCAGGAGAGAAUGCUUCUGGAACAUGGCCAUACAGCCUGGAAAACACACCACAACCUGUGAUCCCGACCAUGAAAGCCUUCGACAUCUCACCUUCCUCAUCCAUUCUCUUUCCUGUAAACUCAAUACUGUUGUUUACUAGCUGGCAAAGAUUAGACACUACGUAGUUGUAUUUCACAAAAUUUCCUGGAUAAACACUCCCCACCUCCUCUGGUUCCAAGCCUCAGCCUUUGGAGCGCUGUCGCAAAGGAAAACACUGACAUAAUGUUUGAUCUUAUUGCAAUAGGUUAUCGGUAAAUGCCGGGCAACCUUAAUAGCCCAAACGUAACCACUUGGGAAGAAGCAAAACCUGUUGAGAGUGAAUCUCCGCAAUACAGUGAGUAAAGAGCAACCAUUCUGAAUGUAGCAACACAGAAACAGCCAAUGGGGAUUGAUGUUUCCUCUUGUCCUGCCCCCAUUCCUAGCAGGUCAAUAUCCUCAAGCAGAGCUGGCUUUCCUCCCGUGUAAGUUCCGCAGCAGUUCAAAGUUUAUACCAAGUAGCUUCCAACAGCAUUGCCAAGCUGCAUCCAGAUCCACUAUGUAGACCUGUAGUGUAAUUAUUAACCCCCAAGCUGAUCCAAUGUACCUAUCUCUCUUCCUCCAAGCCAUUUUGUACAGGGAAAAAUGAACCCAAUACAUUCUCUGCUUUUCUUAGGAAUCUCUAGGUCAUCAGAUGGGAGCCGCUCCCCCCAAAAUUAAGUCCCAGUUAGGCCAGAGUGAAGAAGGGGGCCAGGAAGACAUCAUUCCACCAUGUCUCCUGUGUCAAUAUAACAAUAUAUAAUACCCAUAUUAUGCUAUAUUAAUAAUAUAAUACAUUAUAAGAUAAUGGUAAAGGUUUCCCCUUACGUUAAGUCCAGUUGUGUCCGACCCUGGGGGUUGAUACUCAUCUCCAUUUCUAAGCCGAAGAGCUGGCAUUGUCCAUAGACAUCUCCAGGUCAUGUGGCCGGCAUGACUGCAUGGACCACCGUUACCUUCCCGCCAGAGCGGUAACUAUUGAUCUACUCACAUUUGCAUGUUUUCGAACUGCUAAGUUGGCAGGAGCUGGGGCUAACAGCAGGCGCUCAUUCUGCUCCCGGGAUUUGAACCUGGGACCUUUUGGUCCGCAAGUUCAGCAGCUCAGUGCUUUAACACACUGUGCCACCAGGGACCCGAUAAUAUAUUGUAUAUACAUUUAAUAUUGAUAAUAAUAAUAUUAUAAUAAUACACUAUUAUAAUUGUAUAUUUAUAUUACAUGUAAUAUUACUAAUAAUGUUGCAAUAUAGUGGUAUAGUAAAAUAUAGUAAUAUAUCAUGCUUAUAUUGCGUUAUACUAAUAAUAUACUAAUAUAUUAUAGGUAUAUAUGACUUGUAAGCUGCCCUGAGUCCCCUUCGGGGUGAGAAGGAUGGGAUAUAAAUGUCACUAAUAAAUAAUAAAUAAUGGAAAUAAAUAAAUAAAUAAAUAGGUCCUCCAGCAUGACUGUGGUCAACUUCUGGCGGAAGCCAAUCACAGCAUUGCAUUGGAAGAUAUAAAGAUCCCUAGAGAAAAUAUUUUAAUUAAAUCUGCAGAAGUCAAACCCACAAAUGUGAAGGGCCAACUGGGAAGUUAAACAUUUAUUUACAUCACUUUUACCCCGCCCUUCUCACCCAUAGGGAUCAGGCCGGCUUACAACAGUCAGCAAUUUACAUUGCCCAGAACACAUUCAAUAAAACAAUAACAAAAUCAAUAAACAUUACAACAAAUA